UACGUAGGGUGCAAGCGUUGUCCGGAAUUAUUGGGCGUAAAGAGCUCGUAGGCGGUUUGUCGCGUCGGCUGUGAAAACUCGGGGCUCAACCCCGAGCCUGCAGUCGAUACGGGCAGACUAGAGUGCGGUAGGGGAGACUGGAAUUCCUGGUGUAGCGGUGAAAUGCGCAGAUAUCAGGAGGAACACCGGUGGCGAAGGCGGGUCUCUGGGCCGAAAUUGACGCUGAGGAGCGAAAGCGUGGGGAGCAAACAGG
rnacentral:rRNA from 1 species